rnacentral:rRNA from 1 species
GUGAAAUUGUUGAAAGGGAAGCGCUUGCAGCCAGACGUGCCCGUAGUUGCUCAUCGGGGGUUCUCCCCCGUGUACUCUUCUAUGGGCAGGCCAGCAUCAGUCCGGGCGGUUGGAGAAAGACCUGUGUCAUGUAGCUGUUUUCGGGCAGUGUUAUAGGGCAGGUGGAAUGCAACCAGCCUGGACUGAGGUCCGCGCAUCUGCUAGGAUGCUGGCGUAAUGGCUGUAAGCGGCCCGUCUUGAAACACGGACCAAGGAGUCUAACAUCUAUGCGAGUGUUUGGGUGUCAAGCCCGAGCGCGUAAUGAAAGUGAACGGAGGUGGGAACCUUUUAGGUGCACCAUCGACCGAUCCUGAUGUCUUCGGAUGGAUUUGAGUAAGAGCAUAGCUGUUGGGACCCGAAAGAUGGUGAACUAUGCCUGAAUAGGGUGAAGCCAGAGGAAACUCUGGUGGAGGCUCGCAGCGGUUCUGACGUGCAAAUCGGUCGUCAAAUUUGGGCAUAGGGGCGAAAGACUAAUCGAACUAUCUAGUAGCUGGUUCCUGCCGAAGUUUCCCUCAGGAUAGCAGUAACGUUUUCAGUUUUAUGAGGUAAAGCGAAUGAUUAGAGGCCUGGGGGUUGAAACAACCUUCACCUAUUCUCAAACUUUAAAUAUGUAAGAAGUCCUUGUUUCUUAAUUGAACGUGGACAUUUGAAUGUAUCGUUACUAGUGGGCCAUUUUUGGUAAGCAGAACUGGCGAUGCGGGGAGAACCGA